CUGAUAGUAUUCUUUGAAAAAAAAUCGAAGAAAAUGCUAAUUUUAGAAAUUCAACAGACAACAUUUUAGCAGAUGACAAAUUUCCCAGCAUGCAAAGGGCUAAAUGUGCUUACUGAAAACAUGGAAAAUACAACAGCUCGUUAAUGUCAUAUAACAACCAUGAAGUUAGAAACCAAAUAUUUAACGUGUAAGAAAUAUUCAGAUUAUUCAUACUUACUUUGUGGUCAGACUAAAAGAGAUUUUAUUUCAUGUCUCUAUUUGUUCUCAUUGAUGCUCUUAGCAUUGCAAUUAAUUUUACAUGGCUAGCGUUGUAUUUUCUGAGUCUUUGAAAAUGAACUAAAUACAAGUGAAUCAAAGAACAAUAAAGAUACUCACUGGAGCAAGAAAUACCACUUAUAUUUUAUUUUUAAUAUUUAAAGAUUCUAUGUAAAGAAGUAUAUAUAAAACGUAUCCUUAUUUAUUAAGUUGUUAUAUAACUGAACAAUUGUACUACCAGUCCAUGUAUGUGGAAGUAUACAUAAUGAAUGGAUGUAAUCUCAUAUAUUGUUACAUGCAUCAAAUUGGUUAUAAUCAAAUGUUAAAAUGAUUAUUAUAUGAAACACAAUGUAUAUGUUGAUUAUUGCAUGUGCUACAUGAAAACAAUCUGUUUUUAAGUCAACUGUAAUUACCAGUAAUCACUGUUUAAAGGGAAUUUUUUAUAUUUCCAAAAGUUUUAGAAGUAUUGUUAGGGGUCAUUUGUAUAAACAUGUAUUAAUUUUUUUAUGUUUGCACUAAUUUCAAAAAAAUACUUUCAUGUAGUUAUAAAAACAGGCCCAUGCAUCAUGCAAUGUGUUCCUCUGAUAUUGAUUUGAGUCGCAUUCUGAUAAAACAGGGUUUAAUGCUUAGGCUAAUCUCGGAUGGCACUUUACGCCUAAAUGGAUUUUUGCUAAGAAGAGAUUUUCUUAAAACAAAAACUACAAUAAACGCGGAAAGUGUCGUCCAUGAUUAACCUGUGUAGACUGCACAGGCUAUUUUGGGACGACACUCUCGGCAAAUGCAUUAAGCCCCUUUUUCACAGAUCGAGUCUAUUACACAACUCAUGCUAUAUAUGGGCUACGGCCAGUUGUGAUAUGCUUAAAGUACAGGGUUGUGAAUAAACUGCAGGUGUCCUUAUGAUUUUACUAUGACAUUAAUGCCCUAUAUAGUCAAUGGUAUAAUUGCAAUACAAUUGUUAUUAUACCAAUUUUCAUAAGCGUUGAAUAUUAAGUAUUGUAACUGUCUAAAGGGACUUUGGGCAUUUUUUUAAAACUUGUCAGUAAAUGCCUUAAAUUGCUAGAUGUUAACAACGGGACUGUAGAUUAUAAUGACAAGAAAAGAAUUUCAGAAAAAAACAACAGAAAAAUUAUUCACAGCAGGGUUUCAAUCAGUGUCCUUUGGAAUAAAAGGCUAAUGCCUAAACAACGAAGUCCUCCAAACUGUUAUAUAUUUACAGAUACCAGUAUUUUACACGAAGUGAUGCGCGUGUUGUAAAAAAAUUUACACAAAAAAAACACACAACAGAAUCAUUCCAAAUUAGUCAAUUCUUUCCAGUUUGUAACAUUUUAUAUUGUAUUAUUAAAUUUUUAGUGUUCUUUUCUUGUUUUAAUCUAUGACACAAAAAAAUGGAAAAUUUGGAUCAUUUUGACCAUCUGUGAAGUUCACAAGUCCCUUUAAAAAAAAUUGCGAAUUUCUCUCUAUUUUUGUCUUGAAAAUAGGAUAAACAAUCAUUUGCUCAGUUCUUUUUUAUCAAUAUUUAAGUUCAGCAUUUACCUAUUUUGUUAAGCGAUAUUGCAUUGCAACAUUCCAAUAUAAAUGUAUGGUGCUUUUUCUUGUUCUCCUAUUUGCAAGAGUUAAUAAGACUGUUAGGCUAUUUUGCAAUAUAAAUGUGAAGUUAAAUUGCUGGUAUUCAAUGAAUCCAGUUGUUUAACCUAUUUAUGCCUAGUGGACUCUCCCAUCCUUCUAAAUUGGAUCAAUUUAUUUCCAAAAUUAGGGAAGUCUAGUAUAUUUAUUUCCAAAUUUAGAAUUUUUCUUACAGAAAUUCCUUUAGGCAAACAGCUCAGACCCAGUUCAUGCGGCUUCUCAUCUGGGUCUACGCUGUUUGCCAAGGCCUUUUUUCUAGACGCUAGGCAUAAAUGGGUUAAAAUACUUGUAGUGGUUUACCAUGUUUUAAUGGUUGUUCUUUAUUUGUGAUUUCUAUGUCAAGUCCUUGUGUUAUCAGAGAUUGUAUGAUAUUAUACGGUAUUGCUUGGUUGUGAAACGGGACAGUUUUGACACAAUUUUUUGCCCAACUUAUUAUGCCCCCCUUCGAAGAAGAGGGGGUAUAUUGCUUUGCACAUGUCGGUCGGUCUGUCUGUCGGUCCAUCCACCAGGUUGUUUCCGGAUGAUAACUCAAGAACGCUUGGGCCUAGGAUUAUGAAACUUCAUAGAUACAUUGAUCAUGACUCGCAGAUGACCCCUACUGAUUUUGAGGUCACUAGGUCAAAGGUCAAGGUCACUGUGACCCGAAAUAGUAAAAUGGUUUCCGGAUGAUAACUCAAGAACGCUUAGGCCUAGGAUCAUGAAACUUGAUAUGUAGAUUGAUCUAGACUCGCAGAUGACCCCUAUUGACUUUCAGUUCACUAGGUCAAAGGUCAAGGUCACAGUGACCUGAAAUAGUAAAAUGGUUUCCGGAUGAUAACUCAAGAACGCUUAUGCCUAGGAUCAUGAAACUUAAUAGGUAGAUUGAUAAUAGCUGGCAGAUGACCCCUAUUGAUUUUCAGGUCACUAGUUCAAAGGUCAAGGUCACGGUGACCCGAAAUAGUAAAAUGGUUUCAGGAUGAUAACUGAAGAACGCAUAUGCCUAGGAUCAUGAAACUUCAUAGGUGCAUUGAUCAUGACUGGCAGAUGACCCCUAUUGAUUUUCAGGUCACAAGGUCAAAGGUCAAGGUCACGGUGACCCGAAAUAAUAAAAUGGUUUCCGGAUGAUAACUCAAGAACGCUUAUGCCUAGGAUCAUGAAACUUGAUAGGUAGAUUGAUCAUGACUCGCAGAUGACCCCUAUUGAUUUUCACGUAACUGUAUCAAGGGUCAAGGUCACGGUGACCUGAAAUAGUAAAAUGGUUUCCGAAUGAUAACUCAAGAACGCUAAUGGCUACGAUCAUAAAACUUCAUAGGUACAUUGAUCAUGACUGGCAGAUGACCCCUGUUGAUUUUGAGGUCACUAGGUCAAAGUUCAUGGUGACCCGAAAUAGUAAAAUGGUUUCCGGAUGAUAACUGAAGAACGCUUAUUCCGAGGAUCAUGAAACCUGAUAGGUAGAUUGAUCAUGACUCGCAGAUGACCCCUAUUGACUUUCAGGUCACAAGGUCAAAGGUCAAGGUCACGGUGACCCGAAAUAAUAAAAUGGUUUCCGGAUGAUAACUCAAGAACGCUUAUGCCUAGGAUCAUGAAACUUGAUAGGUAGAUUGAUCAUGACUCGCAGAUGACCCCUAUUGAUUUUCACGUAACUGUAUCAAGGGUCAAGGUCACAGUGACCUGAAAUAGUAAAAUGGUUUCCGAAUGAUAACUCAAGAACGCUAAUGGCUACGAUCAUAAAACUUCAUAGGUACAUUGAUCAUGACUGGCAGAUGACCCCUGUUGAUUUUGAGGUCACUAGGUCAAAGGUCAAGGUCAUGGCGACCCGAAAUAGUAAAAUGGUUUCCGGAUGAUAACUCAAGAACGCUUAUGCAUAGGAUCAUGAAACUUCAUAGGUACAUUGAUCAUGACUCGCAGAUGACCCGUAUUGAUUUUGAGGUCACUAGGUCAAAGGUCAAGUUCAUGGUGACCCGAAAUAGUAAAAUGGUUUCCGGAUGAUAACUGAAGAACGCUUAUUCCGAGGAUCAUGAAACCUGAUAGGUAGAUUGAUCAUGACUCGCAGAUGACCCCUAUUGAUUUUCAGGUCACUAGGUCAAAGGUCACGGUGACCCGAAAUAGUAAAAUGGUUUCCGGAUGAUAACUCAAGAACGCUUAUGGCUAGGAUCAUGAAACUUCAUAGGUACAUUGAUCAUGACUGGCAGAUGACCCCUAUUGAUUUUCAGGUCACUAGGUCAAAGGUCAAGGUCACAGUGACAAAAAACAUAUUCACACAAUGGCUGUCACAACAACGGAGAGCCCAUAUGGGGGGCAUGCAUGUUUUACAAACAGCCCUUGUUUUGUUAUGUAUUGGUGUUGUUUUCAAGUUUAAAGCUUGCUAUUUACAAUGUUAGCUCUAAUACGCUGAACAGUUAUUAAACGGAUAUUUUACUUGA